AAAGGCUCAGGGAGCCUCAGCCGUCGGGUCGCCGCGGCUUUCGCUUUGCCGCCGCGGCUGGGCGGGCGGACUCGGCGGCCGGGCGGUCCUCGCGUCCCAGCUCCCGCAGCGCCGAGGGGCGCUCUUCGUCCAGCCCUCGCGGCUCGAGGAUUCCCUUUCGAGGCGCCCGCGCCCCCGGGCUCCGCCGCCUCGGCCACCCCGCGGACCCGAUGCCGAGGCAUGGAUAGAGUGGCGCUGCACGCGGCGGCGAUGGGAGAGAAGAAGGAGGGCGGCGGCGGGGGGGACGCGGCGGGCGCGGAUGGGGGCGCCGGGGCCGCGGCCAGCCGGGCGCUGCAGCAGUGCGGGCAGCUCCAGAAGCUCAUCGACAUCUCCAUCGGCAGCCUGCGCGGGCUGCGCACCAAGUGCUCCGUGUCCAACGACCUCACCCAGCAGGAGAUCCGGACCCUGGAGGCGAAGCUGCUCCGGUACAUCUGCAAGCAGUGGCACUGCAAGCUGAGCGUGGCUCUGGGCGAGAGGACCUCGGAGCUCGACAGCUACCCUCGCUUCAGCGACUGGCUGUACACCUUCAACGUGAGGCCGGAGGUGGUGCAGGAGAUCCUCCGCGAGCUCACGCUAGAUGCCCUGCUGGACAUGAACGAGGCCAAGGUGAAGGAGACGCUCCGGCGCUGCGGGGCCAGCGCCGAGGAGUGUGGCCGCCUGCAGUACGCCCUCACCUGCCUGCGGAAGGUGACAGGCCUGGGCGGGGAGCACAAAGAGGACUCAAGCUGGAGUUCAUCUGAUGCCCGUCGGGAAAGUGGCUCCGGGCCUCCCGCAGACACCCUCUCGCCAGCCAGCCUGCCCUGGCCUCCGGGGAGCUCCCAGCUGGGCAGACUGGGCAGCAGUGCCCAGGGCCCACGCUCCGUCUCCGUGUCCGCUCUGCCCGCCUCGGACUCCCCAAACCCCGGCCCUGGUGAGGGCCUGUCGGACCCCUUUAUCUCCCUGCACGCCAGCGGCCGGUUGACCCCCCGCGCCCUGCCCAGCUUCAUCACUCCGCCGACCACGCCCCAGCUCCGACGGCACACCAAGCUGAAGCCGCCCAGGACGCCGCCCCCGCCCAGCCGCAAGGUCUUCCAACUGCUGCCCAGCUUCCCCACUCUCACCCGCAGCAAGUCCCAUGAGUCUCAGCUGGGGAACCGCAUUGACGAGGUCUCCCCGAUGAGGUUUGAUCUCCCUCACGGAUCCCCGCAGAUGGUACGAAGGGACAUCGGGCUCUCAGUGACACACAGGUUCUCCACCAAGUCGUGGCUGUCGCAGGCCUGCCACGUGUGCCAGAAGAGCAUGAUGUUUGGAGUGAAGUGCAAGCAUUGCAGGUUAAAGUGUCAUAACAAGUGUACAAAAGAAGCCCCUGCCUGUAGAAUAUCCUUCCUUCCACUACCCAAGCUUCGGAGGACAGAAUCCGUGCCCUCGGACAUCAACAAUCCGGUGGACAGAGCCGCUGAACCCCAUUUCGGAACCCUCCCCAAAGCACUGACAAAGAAGGAGCAUCCUCCAGCCAUGAACCACCUGGACUCCAGCAGCAACCCAUCCUCCACUACAUCCUCUACGCCCUCCUCGCCCGCACCCUUCCCAGCAUCGUCCAACCCAUCCAGUGCCACCACGCCCCCCAACCCCUCGCCUGGCCAGCGGGAUGGCAGGUUCAACUUCCCAGCUGCCUACUUCAUUCAUCAUAGACAGCAGUUUAUCUUCCCAGACAUUUCGGCAUUUCCACAGGCAGCGCCGUUCACCGAUGGAGCGGACAGUUCCCGGCUUGACGACCAGCCAAAAGCAGAUGUGUCGGAAGAUCAUGAAGUGGAGGCCGAGGAGCCUGAGGCCGGCAAGUCAGAGGCCGAAGACGACGAGGACGAGGUGGACGACCUGCCGACCUCCCGCCGGCCCUGGAGGGGCCCCAUCUCGCGCAAGGCCAGCCAGACCAGCGUGUACCUGCAGGAGUGGGACAUCCCCUUUGAGCAGGUGGAGCUGGGCGAGCCCAUCGGGCAGGGCCGCUGGGGCCGGGUGCACCGCGGCCGCUGGCACGGCGAGGUGGCCAUCCGCCUGCUGGAGAUGGACGGCCACAACCAGGACCACCUGAAGCUGUUCAAGAAGGAGGUGAUGAACUACCGGCAGACGCGGCACGAGAACGUGGUUCUCUUCAUGGGGGCCUGCAUGAACCCGCCCCACCUGGCCAUCAUCACCAGCUUCUGCAAGGGACGAACGUUGCACUCGUUUGUGAGGGACCCCAAGACAUCUCUGGACAUCAACAAGACCAGGCAGAUCGCCCAGGAGAUCAUUAAGGGCAUGGGGUACCUCCACGCCAAGGGCAUUGUGCACAAAGAUCUCAAAUCCAAGAACGUCUUCUACGACAACGGCAAAGUGGUCAUCACAGACUUCGGGCUAUUCGGGAUCUCGGGCGUCGUACGAGAAGGACGGCGUGAGAACCAGCUGAAGCUGUCACAUGACUGGCUGUGCUACCUGGCCCCCGAGAUCGUGCGGGAGAUGACCCCCGGGAAGGACGAGGACCAGCUGCCCUUCUCCAAAGCUGCCGACGUCUAUGCAUUCGGGACUGUUUGGUAUGAACUGCAAGCCAGAGACUGGCCCUUCAAGAACCAAGCUGCAGAGGCCCUGAUCUGGCAGAUUGGAAGUGGAGAGGGCAUGAAGCGAGUCCUGGCCUCCGUCAGCCUGGGGAAGGAAGUCACUGAGAUCCUGUCCGCCUGCUGGGCCUUCGACCUGCAGGAGCGGCCCAGCUUCCCCCUGCUGAUGGACAUGCUGGAGAAGCUGCCCAAGCUGAACCGGCGGCUCUCGCACCCUGGGCACUUCUGGAAGUCUGCUGAGUUGUAGGCCUGGCUGCCUUGCAUGUUCGGGGCUUUCUUCUUCCUAAUCCACGCUCUGCACUGCGACUUCUACUCCAGCUCAAACAGCGCUGCGGGCACUAACCCAGGGAAUGCGAUCCUGCCGCCCCAGCCUCUCUGCUGGGACUUCUUUCUGCUUUGUUUGUUAAAACUGGCCCUCGCCCUGCCCUGUGGCCCUGUGUGUGCCUGAGUAACAGCUUUCCACGGAGGGUCUCCGUAACAGCAACCCCCAACCCGGCACCUCCUCCCUGGACGCAACUUCAUCUCUCUGCAGCACUUCUGUGGGGUGGUCCCGUCUCCCUACUAACAACUCAACGAGAGAGAUCCCCCCUCUCCCGCGCCCUGCAACAUACCGGCCCUUCGCAGGCAUUAACAGCAGCAAAGUUGUACCCCGGUUUGAAAGGUUUGGCUUGGGCAUCCUGGAGUCCAGUAAUCCAAAGAUGUAGCCAGCUGUGCAGUUUUUCUGACAACGUAUUUCUUUCUUAAAUGUGUCUCUCAAACAUCCGAACCACCACCACAACAAAAAAAACAAAAACAAUGCUGUUCAAAAUGCCAGCCACCCUCCUAAGUGCCACAAACCAGGAGCACGAGGCCUUGACUUAGACCAUUCAUCUACAAAAACACUUGGGUCCCGGAGAUGGAGCUGCACCUGCCGUUUCUUAAAAUGACAUCACCAACAACCAGACCUGUCCUGACAGGCGGCAAAUGUUUACAUAUAUGUUCGUGCGGAGUUGGACUCGAGGUUGUACAAUAGGUAAUAAUAAAAAAAAAACGGUCUGUGCAGAGGUUGCUGGCACCGUGGGCCAGGAUGGCAGAAGUGGCCCUCCCUUCUGGAGGCACCCACACUGGGCCAGAGGAAGAAAAGCAUCGUGAUUGUGGCUGGUCUCCUGGCAGGAUGGGCGGGGUUGGGGGGUGGCAACCACAGGGUUUGACCAGGCUUCUACUUUGGCCCCAAAUCCCAUCACCCCUCAUCCUAUCAAAGAGGUGCGGUCUCUUCCUCCUCUUGCAGGUUAGACCCUGACCAGGAGUUGAGCUGGAUUAACAGGGUCAGGAGUUUGCAGACAGCUUGAGUUCACCUUUGACCCCUGUAACCCAGUCCAUAUCUUCUGGAAAAGCAGAGACAGAUCAAAUCCAGAUACCAUCUGGACUGAUCCAGUGGUUCCCAGCCAGGGUCUCCUCUGCCUAUGGAGGUGUUUCUUUCAUGAAGCCCCCAGCGGGGCACCUGGGAGAUAGAAUGAAAGACUUCAACUGUUUAGGUACAUCGCAGUCCUUAACUAACAUUUGACCCCAGUGCUAAGGCCCAGCCCAGCAGCUGUGUACACCGUGAAAGCUUGAUCCAUGAAAACAGGGAAGGUAGAAGGUGGGGGAAGAGGCAGGCAGGGUCUCUGAGCCCACUCUCCCAAUCACAGGGUGCCCUGGCCCUUUAGAAGCCCAUCAUCGAUCUUGCCAAAGUUCUGUAACUGCCCACCCCUGAGUCCUGUUGAAACACCCUAGCCUGCUCCUGACUCCUCCUCUGCCCAUGUUCAGAGCUCUUAGAUAAGGUGGGAGGUGUGUGCCCCGCCUUUCGUUUAGACCCAGCUAGCAAGCCCCCCACCUUCAGAAUCUUCCCGAGCACCAAGGCUUGUGUCUGUUGGAACCAGGUUUGGGAAAGUCCAGGAUAUGAGAGGGUCCUGCCUGUCCUCAUUAGAAGCUGACUCCUAAGGAGGAAAGUUCCAAAUGGCAGAGAAGCCCUUCAGUGAAGGUUAGGGCGUAUCAGGCUCCAAAGCCAAAAAUGACCCAGGGUGAUGAAAGUGGAAAGGAGAUUGUCUUCAGACCCACAACCCAUGUCCACAUUUGGAGCCAAGACGAGAAGGCACGUGGCCCUCCCACGGGGUUUAUGUACACCUGUCUAACCAGGCUCCGAACUUGGAGUCUGGCCAAGUUGUCACGUGAAAUGGGCUGCUUGGCCUGGAGACUGUGGGGCGACCUUCCCGGCUCUGGGCUGAGCAUCCCUUGGCGGCCCUGCUGGGAGGGCACAGCUGAACAGCUGUGCUGGGUACCCGGGCCUCCCGGCCAACAGCACCUCAACCCUACCUGCUGGGUGUGUGGGAAGGAAGAUGGAGAAGCUGUAAACCAGCUAGAUUUGGCUUGGGGGGGUCUUUUGUCUCUGGGACGCUUGGCUUCUCCCCAUCAUCCCUUUGACCAACAGGUCAGCCUCUCCCCUGAUCUCCCCACUCUACUUGGCAUGUGACUCCGCCUCCUCUGAUCAUCAGGCUCCUCCCCCCACAUCGGCUCCUUCCCAGAGGUCACAGUUCAUGCCUCUCACGUUUCCCCUCUGAACCCUUGGACGAGCAGGUGGCCUGAGGGGUGGGACGGCAGCUGAGUAAAUGGGACUUACCUCACUGCCCAUGGACAGUCAGUCUGGGUUUUUUUUCCCCUUGAAGGGUGUCACACUCUUGGGUCAGUUCAGGAAGCUUUCUUUGAGUGCCUACUGUGUGCAAGUGCUGGGGGCCCUGGAGGGGAGCAGUCACAGUGCCCGCGUUUAGGAAACUGAUGAUUUGCCAGGAACCCGGAGGGUGGGACUGGGGGCCACCCCCUUCCUCUCCCGGGCCCUGGGAUGCCUUCUUGCUCUCAGUCUGAGCCUCUGCCCUACCUGUUAUUGAAGAGAAGCAGCUGAGGAGCUCCCCAGGUGGUCCCCAUCACCUUGUCUCUAUUUAAGUGACUGUGAAUUGAGGUUAGGAAGACACGCCUGCCCUUCCGUGUGCUCCCCCCAUCUGCUUUGGAAACACAUGAAGGAUGGCAGAUACUGUGAAUUCAGCCCUCACAGCCAACUGUGAAAGGGAUGGAGAAGCUGGGAGCCCUCCUGGACAAGAUCUCGGGGGCUGCAGAGGUCCCCUGGGGUCUGAGAAUGGAGCCCAAGUUUCAACCUUCAGCCUGUGCCCCGCCCCCCACCACUCUCCACUCCCCAGCCUCACCUCCAAACCCCUGGGAUCUGUUCCUGAUGCCUUUAAACACCAGAGCCACAACCCUGGGUCCCCAUCCAACCCGAGGUCUUGAAUCCCGAGUUCCCCACCAGUUGUGAGUGGCGUGUAGCCAAGAUGACGUCUCCACACUAACCACCAAAUCAAAGACGUGUACAGGGCCUGGAAUCCCUCUGCCCUCUCACAGCAUUUCUUCCUGUGAUCACUGAGGGGCGUGGCAUGCCCUGUAAGCCCCUGGUGGGGGUGGUGGGGGUUGUCUGUGUUGCUUUGGGGGCUGGGUGGAGAUAUAAAUGUGAAGCAAGUUAGGGAGCUUGUGCGAUGCUGCAGUGUCGGCCAGGAUUUCAUCUGUGUGUGCAAACCCAGCAUCUUCUGAGGCCACGAGGCACACACUUGCUUUUUUGAAUGUGAUGUAAAAUUUGUAUAUUAAAAGUUUUUAUAUUUUCUAUCAACUGCAUUUGUCUUCCAGAAAUGCUAUUAAUUUAAAUUAAAAUGGUUAGUAUUAA